rnacentral:rRNA from 1 species
CAACGCGUGGAUAACCUGCCUCACACUGGGGGAUAACAGUUAGAAAUGACUGCUAAUACCGCAUGAGCGCACAGUACCGCAUGGUACGGUGUGAAAAACUCCGGUGGUGUGAGAUGGAUCCGCGUCUGAUUAGCCAGCUGGCGGGGUAACGGCCCACCAAAGCGACGAUCAGUAGCCGACCUGAGAGGGUGACCGGCCACAUUGGGACUGAGACACGGCCCAA